AGCGACCCUGGAGGCUUUUCCGCCUGCUUUUCCAGUCAGUUUAACCAACAGCGUCUGAAUUAUACGACGGCGUAGCGAAAUUCUCGGACGCUUUAGAGUAGAGAGCAGCUAAAGUUUGGUCAAAGCUCGCGGGCACUGAGAGGGAGCUCGCGGGCGCGGGGAAGACGGCGGGGUGUUUCCUCGCGCGAGGAGUAAAGAUGACCCGGUAAGACGUGAUUACCGAAGGCGCGCGGACUCGGCCUGCCCGCUGCAGUGGAGUUUUGGGUCGGAAUGGCAGCUGCGGUGUCGAGCUCAGGCUUCCGAUAAGAGAUGGAAGAGGGGGUAGACAGCAGGGGGCAGGAAUAUCAGAGCACCAACGAGCCCACGCUCCCUGGUCCCCAAGUGGCAGAGUCCCAGCCUCAACACACCCAACAGCCCGCCAUACAAAACCAAGGGCUUCCCAUCAUGCACUGGGAAGACCUGAGCUUGCGAAUAGCAGAGCUUGAGAAACAGGAGGAAGAGAGAAGGAAAAAAGCAGAGUGCCUGAGUUUGACAGAAGAAGAAUCGGUGCUAGGACAGUGGCCACAGGUGAAGCACCAGUCACUUCUCAGGAAACAGUGGGGAGAUGGGGGUGACUUUGGUGGAUAUCGCUUUCCAGUCAUUACAUCUCGGUUUAAUAGUCCCAAAAACCUACAACUGUGUUUUAUCAACAACAGUGAGAGCGAGGAAGAGGAUGAUGAGGGGACAUCCAGCAGAGAGAGUCCGUGUGGCACACAUGGAUGUGGGCGACGUUCUGCCGGCCUGAAACAGGAAGUCAGAGCAGCUCUGAGCGAUCUCAGAGAUAAGCUCUGGGCCGAACAGAAGCAACAGCACCAGCAGCAGCUGACCAGCAGUGACAUUAGCAUUAGGAGGAAAAUGCUGAGCCACAGUGAGCUGCAGAGUUGCUCCGUGCUUCAGCUGACUGCGCUCAGCACCUCCCUCAAUGAAGACAUUCAGGAUUUGAGCUCUGAGUUAGUGAAGCAUCUGGUUGUGCGAGACCAUCUCCGGACGAAGCAAGAUGCGAUGCUCCUUGAUGUACAGGAUAUGACGUGACUGUGACUCACAUCGAGUCACAAUUAUCUGUCCUUAUGUAAUGGACUUUAUGGACUACAGUGGAAUAUGGAUCUUUUCACAUCAGCAAUUUACUGGAAGUUUUUUAUCUCCUGCUUAUUGCUAUCUAAAUUCACACAGUUUGUCAUUGUACUCAUGGGAAUGUUCAUUUGUAUGUAAGUAAGUUUAUUUUGUCACAAGUUUUAUUGUGAGAACUUUGUCUUUAUCAAUGCAAAUGAGCAGUUCUUAAAUACUAAACAGGAAUGCAACUCAUCAUCGCAAAAUACACCUAGUCACAUAAGGUGCAUUAUUACCAUCAAUAAUAACCAAUCUGUGAAAGCUGCUAUAAAUCCAUGUGUGAUCAGUAACUGAUAUAUUAAACUGAUUAAAUUCCAAUUAAAAAUGCUUCAUGGGAAUAAGAACUGCAUGCAAUAUACCAUACUAUCUGCCAUGAAGGUGUAGUUGGAGACUGGGAUUUUAGUAUCUUUUCCAAUUUAUCAGUGUUUUUUCUGGAAAUGGGCAGAAUUUAUAUAAACUGAGUAAAUCUGUAGCAUUUAUUAAAUAUAUGGUUUAUUUGGUAUUUUUUGUUUAAGUCUCAUUGGUUAUGCUCACUUGAGUAGAAUUUGAGAGAAGAGGAGUAUUUGGGAUGAUUAAAUGUACUUCUUGUAGUGUUUUCCAUUUUUCCAUAUUUGUCUCUCACAUUAUGGAACAUAGUAUAC
ensembl:lncRNA